GAGACCUGUACCUAUAAUUGCUAACGAUUUCUUCGGAAAGAUCGAGCACAUUAUUGGGACUGCCUUGGAAACAAGGAGGAAGGCGCAGGCUACGGUAGGUCUGUACGCUCCGAAUCUUCCGGGCUACACGCGCGCAACAAUGGUAAGGACAAUGUGAUGCAACUCCGAAAGGAGAAGCUAAUCCUCGAAACCUUAUCUUAGUUUAGAUUGAGGAUUGUAAUUCAUCCUCAUGACACUGGAAUCCCUAGUAAUCAGAUUUCAUCAUACUCUGGUGAACAU
rnacentral:rRNA from 1 species